CCCGCUCAGAAACUUAAAUGAAUUGACGGGGGCCCGCACAAGCGGUGGAGCACGUGGUUUAAUUCGAUGAUACGCGAGGAACCUUACCUGGGCUCAAAUGUAUGUUGACGUAUUCUGAAAGGGAUACUUCUUCGGACAAUAUACAAGGUGCUGCAUGGUUGUCGUCAGCUCGUGCCGUGAGGUGUCGGGUUAAGUCCCAUAACGAGCGCAACCCCUAUCAUUAGUUGCCAUCAGGUCAAGCUGGGGACUCUAAUGAAACUGCCUACGCAAGUAGUGAGGAAGGUGGGGAUGACGUCAAGUCAUCAUGGCCCUUAUGUCCUGGGCUACACACGUGCUACAAUGGCCGGUACAGAGUGAAGCGAAACCGCGAGGUGAAGCAAAACGCAGAAAGCCGGUCUCAGUACGGAUUGGAGUCUGAAACUCGACUUCAUGAAGUUGGAAUCGCUAGUAAUCGCGCAUCAGCAUGGCGCGGUGAAUACGUUCCCGGGCCUU
rnacentral:rRNA from 1 species